GAUCAUGGCUCAGGAUGAACGCUAGUUACAGGCUUAACACAUGCAAGUCGAGGGGCAUCAGUCUGGUUUGCUUGCAAACCAAAGCUGGCGACCGGCGCACGGGUGAGUAACACGUAUCCAACCUGCCUCAUACUCGGGGAUAGCCUUUCGAAAGAAAGAUUAAUAUCCGAUAGCAUAUAUUUCCCGCAUGGGUUUUAUAUUAAAGAAAUUCGGUAUGAGAUGGGGAUGCGUUCCAUUAG
rnacentral:rRNA from 1 species